UGAAAAUACAAGAAGAGAAAUUCCUCUCAGAACUGGCAAGGGACUGAAUACUGACUCCAAAACUUGCUACACUACAGGAGAAAGAACUUCAAAAGGAAUCUCUGGCAAGCACUUCUUUACACAUCAAGCACAAAACUUCAAGAGAAAUACUAAGUUCUGAGGAUAGGCGUUCCCGUGCUGUCACAGGCACCACCAAUGCGAAGAUGGGUCUUUCCCAGAUGACUAUCCAAAUGGGAUGAGGACACAUAUUCAGGAGAAAGUGUGCAACUGUGUCAUGAUGUGUUCAAAGCACGUGUGCUGCUGAAGUUCUCUGCAAAGCAUUUGUCUGGCCUCAAGUACACCCUUGGCUCAGUAGCUCAGCGGUUUCCUUUCCUUUAGCAGCCCGCAGUCCAAGGAGGAGCACCUCAGAGGGCUGGCCGGGGGCCACGAAGCCUUCCAAACUCUGUUAGAAUAGCGGGAAGGCCAGCUCCCCUCUGAAGAGGCAGAUGGCGAAACAUCCUCUUGGCUCUUGUUCAUCCAGCCAUAUUGGUGCAGAUACCGCUGAAAAAGGCCAGCAAGUUCUCCCAGGCCAGGCAAA
rnacentral:lncRNA from 1 species